GGAGGAGGUGGAGGCGGCUCUUCUCGGCGAGGAGGAGAUCGGACCACUUCUAUGACCGGAGGCCCAGAAGGUUGAGACGAGCCUUCCUGUAUUUCCCCGGGCUCAUGACCAGGUGUUUGAAGCAGUUCGGAACGCUUCAUCUCCCGUACUUUCCGGGAGAUCUCUCUCUUCUGCUUCCGGCUCUCCUUAGAGGUUUUGCCGCUUGCCAUACCUGCACAAAGGAAAAGUCAGUGAGUUCGCUAAGACCUAGAGAUCAGAGAUAUAGAAAGUACCGAGGCUGAGGUCAGAGAGCUAAGCCCGCUUUCUUUGUCGGUAAUCAGUUGCAUUGUCCAAUGAUGCAGGCAUCUAAAUAAGAGAACUUCUGUGUGGCUGCCUGAUCUUUCAGCUCCAUUACCAUUAUGCCCUCUUCCCUAUUUAAGGUGAUGCACUUCGGAAGUGAGGGGCCCAGAUGCAGCCAGGUACGUGGGAAACCCUCAAAACCUUUCGGAAUCUUGCUCCUCAGAAUAAAGAAGCGAUUCUUCCAAUUCUUCAGGGAGGAGGGCAGAUCGGUAAAAAGCCCGCAAUGUGGUUUCGCCUGGAAGAACCAAUACUCGUCGUCCUUUCGACGAGUUAAUCUAUG
rnacentral:misc_RNA from 1 species